UGCUAAUCUGCGAUAAGCGCCGGUAAGGUGAUAUGAACCGUUAUAACCGGCGAUACCCGAAUGGGGAAACCCAGUGUGAUUCGUCACACUAUCAUUAACUGAAUCCAUAGGUUAAUGAGGCGAACCGGGGGAACUGAAACAUCUAAGUACCCCGAGGAAAAGAAAUCAACCGAGAUUCCCCCAGUAGCGGCGAGCGAACGGGGAGGAGCCCAGAGCCUGAAUCAGCAUGUGUGUUAGUGGAAGCGUCUGGAAAGGCGCGCGAUACAGGGUGACAGCCCCGUACACAAAAGCGCAUGUGCUGUGAGCUCGAUGAGUAGGGCGGGACACGUGGUAUCCUGUCUGAAUAUGGGGGGACCAUCCUCCAAGGCUAAAUACUCCUGACUGACCGAUAGUGAACCAGUACCGUGAGGGAAAGGCGAAAAGAACCCCGGCGAGGGGAGUGAAAAAGAACCUGAAACCGUGUACGUACAAGCAGUGGGAGCACAGGUUUACCUGUGUGACUGCGUACCUUUUGUAUAAUGGGUCAGCGACUUAUAUUCUGUAGCAAGGUUAACCGAAUAGGGGAGCCGGAGGGAAACCGAGUCUUAAUUGGGCGUUAAGUUGCAGGGUAUAGACCCGAAACCCGGUGAUCUAGCCAUGGGCAGGUUGAAGGUUGGGUAACACUAACUGGAGGACCGAACCGACUAAUGUUGAAAAAUUAGCGGAUGACCUGUGGCUGGGGGUGAAAGGCCAAUCAAACCGGGAGAUAGCUGGUUCUCCCCGAAAGCUAUUUAGGUAGCGCCUCGUGAA
rnacentral:rRNA from 1 species